UACGGAGGGUGCAAGCGUUGUUCGGAAUUAUUGGGCGUAAAGGGCGCGUAGGCGGUAAUGUAAGUCAGAUGUGAAAUACUUCGGCUCAACUGAAGAACUGCAUCUGAAACUGCAUAACUAGAGUACAGAAGAGGGAAACGGAAUUCCCGGUGUAGAGGUGAAAUUCGUAGAUAUCGGGAGGAACACCAGUGGCGAAGGCGGUUUCCUGGUCUGAUACUGACGCUGAGGCGCGAAAGUGUGGGGAGCAAACAGG
rnacentral:rRNA from 1 species